ACGGGUGAGUAACACGUGGGCAACCUGCCCUGCAGAUCGGGAUAACUCCGGGAAACCGGUGCUAAUACCGAAUAGUUUGCGGCCUCUCCUGAGGCUGUACGGAAAGACGGUUUCGGCUGUCACUGCAGGAUGGGCCCGCGGCGCAUUAGCUAGUUGGUGGGGUAAUGGCCUACCAAGGCGACGAUGCGUAGCCGACCUGAGAGGGUGAUCGGCCACACUGGGACUGAAACACGGCCCAGACUCCUACGGGAGGCAGCAGUAGGGAAUCUUCCGCAAUGGACGAAAGUCUGACGGAACAACGCCGCGUGAGUGACGAAGGUUUUCGGAUCGUAAAACUCUGUUGUGAGGGAAGAACAAGUACCAAGUAACUACUGGUACCUUGACGGUACCUCACCAGAAAGCCACGGCUAACUACGUGCCAGCAGCCGCGGUAAUACGUAGGUGGCAAGCGUUGUCCGGAAUUAUUGGGCGUAAAGCGCGCGCAGGCGGUUCCUUAAGUCCGAUGUGAAAGCCCACGGCUCAACCGUGGAGGGUCAUUGGAAACUGGGGAACUUGAGUGCAGAAGAAGAAAGUGGAAUUCCAUGUGUAGCGGUGAAAUGCGUAGAGAUGUGGAGGAACACCAGUGGCGAAGGCGACUUUCUGGUCUGUAACUGACGCUGAGGCGCGAAAGCGUGGGG
rnacentral:rRNA from 1 species